rnacentral:misc_RNA from 1 species
UGUGAGGCAUGCAUGGUAUGC